GCCUCCUUAGCUCAGUUGGUAGAGCACUUCAUUCGUAAUGAAGGGGUCGUAGGUUCAAGUCCUAUAGGAGGCUCAA
rnacentral:tRNA from 2 species